CCCAGAGGUAUUAAUUGGUGAGAGAUCAACAUACACGGUGUGUUGAGGCCAUUUAAAAUUGCACCAACCUACGCGGAUGCGUAGGUUUUUUUU
rnacentral:sRNA from 1 species